GCAUCCAGGUCACGUGGUUGCUUUUCAUUGCUGGUGGCUAACCCGGUCACCUGCGGGACGGACAUGUGGAAGAGUCCGUAGGGCUCACAAGAGUGGCUGUUUAGCGAGUUAAUUUUCCAGAAAUAAUCGUUUAUAGGUCAUAUACCACCUCGGACUUCUGUUUGAGACGAGUAAAGUUUCAUUUGCGCUUGGAGCGGAGUCAGAAAUCAACGGGACAGCGGAAGAAAGGUAAGGAGAGAUGUCAUACUACUCGUCUUCCCGUAGUUCAUCUCGGGCCACUGACUGUAAAGUGUAUGUGGGUGACCUGGGCAAUGGUGCUGCCAAGGGGGAGCUGGAGCGAGCGUUCAGUUAUUAUGGCCCACUGAGGAGCGUCUGGGUGGCCAGGAACCCACCUGGGUUUGCCUUUGUGGAGUUUGAGGAUCCCAGAGAUGCAGAAGAUGCUGUGAAAGGCAUGGAUGGAAAGGUCCUUUGUGGUUCCCGUGUUCGUGUGGAGAUGUCAACAGGUCUCUCCAGGAAGGGCCGCGGGCGCCCCAGUCGACGCCAGUUUGACCCCAAUGAUCGAUGUUACCAGUGUGGGGACCGGGGCCACUACGCCUACGACUGCUACCGCUUCAGCAAGAGGGGUCGUCGCAGCAGGUCUCGCUCUCGUUCUCGAUCUCGCUCAAGGUCCAGGUCCCGUGGACGCCGCUAUCGCUCCCGAUCCCGCAGCCGGAGCCACAGCCGGAGCCGCCGCAGAUCUCCAUCCUACUCCAGACGCAGGAGCAGGUCUGGCUCCCCAGCCCGCUCCAAGUCCAGGACUCCAGUGAGAAGUCGCUCCAGAUCUCGGUCUCGGUCUGGCUCUGCACCCAGAGGACGCUCGGUCUCCCGAUCCCGCUCACGAUCUCAGUCAGCCAACCACAAGAGGAACAGCGUGUGGUGGGAGCUGAGCACUGCACUGACACCGCAGCUGAUCCCAGGCCCAGGGUCUGCCAGCUGGCGGUGUGUACGUCCUGCGGGAGGGUGACUAGCGCUGACCUGAGAUCAGCCUUCGCCUGCAUCUGGUGUUAGACAGCGAGAAAGAGGUCGACCUACCGACCGAACCCUCCCCACAGUGAAUGGGUGACCGUCUGUUCAACCGACGCACACGCUCAGACGAGAUCAGCCCGCGCACACAUAGAGUUGUUCUACUAGAGUCACCCACCCAGCCAGCCAGCCUUCAGACGUACCAGAGGGCUGACCCACACAGAUCAGAGUUCGACCACUACUUUUUUUUAAUCCAUUACCUACCUACCAGAUCCCCCUACCUACCUACCAGAGUUCUUCGGCCUCUGUCUUAGCUUCUGAAAGUGAGAGAAAGAGAGCUGACGAGAGAUCAGUCUUCAAGAGCCUCCCAGCGCAGUGUCUCUCCAAGUUGUAGUCAUCCGUCCUUCAGUCCUUUCAUCCUUCGCUUCUCUGUACUUGUUGUUUCUGCCACUGUCUCCAAAGUCGUUCCCGUUCAGCAAGUCCAAACCGAAGCCCUACGCCAGCAGACGACUGAGUGAAGACGACUAUUAGUCCCCCCCUUUCCCACCACUCCCACUCUCCUUAACAGACAGAUCUGCAACCUCUGCACCAUCUCUGCUCAUACAGCCCUACAGCAGUUGUGUUUUUUGUACUCGUCUGUCUAUUCUCAAUUGUUAAAGUUUAAUUUUCUCCCCAGAACUGCAGUCUUCUUACAGCCUCAGAUUGUUAAAGCUUUAGUCAGUAAAGCAGAUAGAAAUCAGUUUCCAUUGGACAGUGAUUGUUUUAAUGUUGCUGCUGCUGCCGCCUCCAUAGGUCAUCUUUCUUCUCUGAAGCUUUGUAGCAAGUUCAAGAAGCAACAACUAUGUCAAGGCAAUACUGAAUGUUGCAGUCGACUUUUAGCAGUGGUAUGGGCAGUUCAUACAGUAAACUGCAGCUGAAGAUGGCCCACUUGAUGCAGUUCUUAAGGGCAAGGACAUUGUAUCAUAUAACUGCUUUUAUUCCCUACACUUAAAUUUGUGAAUCUCAAGAUAUUUUUCCCCGUUGAGAAUCAGCAAAGAGAUUUUUUUGUUUUGCACCCCAGUAUGAUUUUUGAGUUCAAAUGCUGUUUGUCUCUACUCACAAUGAUGGCAUGAAGAGAUACUAACUGGCCUGCAUGCCUUUAAAUACGAUGUCACAUUCCUACUGUUUGUUGUUUCUGUGCUGCACUGCCCUUUUUACAAACCUGAUCAGCUUCACUCUAUGCUGAAUAGAUUUUUCCCCAUGUGUUGAAUUCUGAUUUGUUCCUGUGACUUUUGAUUUUAAAAUAAAUACAGUGCUUGAGUUUGAUUUCUGUAAGGGCUGCUUUAACAGUUGGGUUCUGUUUCUGGCUUAUAUGGUAAGACAGUGGCAGUUUUAUUUUUGAAUAAAUCUCUUCAACAUA